UACGUAGGGGGCACGCGUUGUCCGGAUUUAUUGGGCGUAAAGAGCGUGUAGGCGGCCACACAGGUCUGCUGUGAAAACUCGAGGCUCAACCUCGAGCUGUCGGUGGAAACUGUGUGGCUAGAGUCCGGAAGAGGAGAGUGGAAUUCCCGGUGUAGCGGUGAAAUGCGCAGAUAUCGGGAAGAACACCCGUGGCGAAGGCGGCUCUCUGGGACGGUACUGACGCUGAGACGCGAAAGCGUGGGGAGCGAACAGG
rnacentral:rRNA from 1 species